ACGCUCGACACCUACGGGAGCCAGCAGUGGGGAAUAUUGCACAAUGGGGGAAACCCUGAUGCAGCGACGCCGCGUGAGCGAAGAAGUAUUUCGGUAUGUAAAGCUCUAUCAGCAGGGAAGAAACUGACGGUACCUGACUAAGAAGCACCGGCUAAAUACGUGCCAGCAGCCGCGGUAAUCUGAGCGGGCUGGCAAGGC
rnacentral:rRNA from 1 species